rnacentral:misc_RNA from 1 species
UCAGUCCUGCUGCACUCUCUUCUUGUACCCUGAGUUGUGAAAACAAAUCAUUAGGCAGCACCUGAUGGCCUUCAACAUGAGCUCCCAGGUUGAGGAACUUGUCAAUUACUAUCUUGAGCGAUCUUUGGAAAUCUUCAUUUGCCUUGGGAAUCAUCUGCCUGGCCAAUUGCCUCCUAAAUUCAAAGCCAUAAUCAUUCUUAUGCUCUAGAAGCCACUUAAUAUCAUCUGUUGGCUUCAAAUAUUUAACAAGCAGCACACAUAGUGAAAACUCUCUCUGCCGUAAAGACAUCCACAAUUCUACUUCAGCGACGUCAUAAAGUUCACUGAUUUUGUGCAAUUCUUCCAAAAUGGCAAGAUGCUG